GAUCAUGGAAUGACGCAGUGCUCUGAGGAAAGGUUAAUAGAACUUGACCAGUACCUGGAUAAAGACCACUAUACCCUGAUUGAUCAAUCUCCAGUAGCAGCCAUCUUGCCAAAAGAAGGUAAAUUUGAUGAAGUCUAUGAAGCACUAACUCACGCUCAUCCUAAUCUUACUGUUUACAAAAAAGAAGAGAUUCCAGAAAGGUGGCAUUACAAAUACAACAGUCGAAUUCAACCAAUCAUAGCAGUGGCUGACGAAGGGUGGCACAUUUUACAGAAUAAGUCAGAUGACUUUCUGUGUGAGUAUGUUACAGUAUUUCUUUCCAUUCUGCAUUACUUUUUGCUAAAAUACAACAGUUUAAAUACAUAAUACAGCAGUUUAUUGAUUGAUAUUUUUACUGUCUGUUACUUGAAUGUUAGGGAACUACAAUGUUUUAGUACUUAUCUAGAAAUGCUUUUUUUAGAUAUUGGUCCUUAAUAUAUAAAAGAUAUAUACAAAAUGUCCCUUUAGGUAGAAUUGGGUUUCUAUCAUGUUUAUUGAUUAAAAGAAAAGCAGAUGCCUGACAAUGGCAUUGUAGUGUGUUCGUGACUCAUAGUGGCAGAUGUAUACAGAUACAUGGUUUCUGGUUCUUAAAACAGUUUUUGGCUGGGCGCAGUGGCUCUCGCCUGUAAUCCCAGCACUUUGGGAGGCUGAGGCAGGCGGAUCACGAGGUCAGGAGAUCGAGAC
rnacentral:sRNA from 1 species